rnacentral:rRNA from 1 species
GACGAACGCUGGCGGCGUGCUUAACACAUGCAAGUCGAACGGAAAGGCCCUGCUUUUGUGGGGUGCUCGAGUGGCGAACGGGUGAGUAACACGUGAGUAACCUGCCCUUGACUUUGGGAUAACUUCAGGAAACAGGGGCUAAUACCGGAUAGGAGCUCCUGCUGCAUGGGGGGGGAUGGAAAGUUUCGGCGGUUGGGGCUGGACUCGCGGCUUAUCAGCUUGUUGGUGGGGUAGUGGCUUACCAAGGCUUUGACGGGUAGCCGGCCUGAGAGGGUGACCGGCCACAUUGGGACUGCGAUACGGCCCAGUCUCCUACGGGCGGCAGAGGUGGGGAAUAUUGCGCAGUGGGCGGAAGCCUGAUGCAGCAACGCCGCGUGCGGGAUGACGGCCUUCGGGUUGUAAACCGCUUUCGCCUGUAACGAAGCGUGAGUGACGGUAAUGGGUAAAGAAGCACCGGCUAACUACGUG